UCGUAACAAGGUCUCCGUAGGUGAACCUGCGGAGGGAUCAUUACUGAGUGUGGGCUCCGGCCCUACCUCCAACCCCAUGUCGAAACGACUCUGUUGCCUCGGGGGCGACCCGGCCUUCGGGCGUCGGGGCCCCCGGCGGACACCUUCAUAACUCUUGCAUCUCUUGCGUCUGAGUGAUACAUAUAAUCAAUCAAAACUUUCAACAACGGAUCUCUUGGUUCUGGCAUCGAUGAAGAACGCAGCGAAAUGCGAUAAGUAAUGUGAAUUGCAGAAUUCAGUGAAUCAUCGAAUCUUUGAACGCACAUUGCGCCCCCUGGCAUUCCGGGGGGCAUGCCUGUUCGAGCGUCAUUACACCACUCAAGCCUGGCUUGGUAUUGAGCGCCGCGGCCUGCCCGCGCGCUCCAAUGUCUCCGGCUGAGCCGUCCGUCUCUAAGCGUUGUGAAUAGCGAUCGCUUGCGAGGCCCGGGCGCGCUCGACGCCGUUAAACCCCCCAUUUUCUAUGGUUGACCUCGGAUCAGGUAGGGAUACCCGCUGAACUUAAGCAUAUCAAUA
rnacentral:rRNA from 1 species